CCAAAUUACUUUUAGUUUCCCUCUAACACAAAAACAUACACAGACAUACGCUCAAAACACACACACACAGACGGACGCUCUCUCUCAGACUCUCUCUCGAGCUCCCUCUCUCGGCUCUCUCUCUAGCUCUUCACACUCUUUCUCGAACUAAACUCUAUCACGAAGAACAAAUCGAAGAAUUGGUAUUUGAAUACGCAGUUUUGUGGCUUCAAUUAAAAGGUGGUGAUUAGAGUUCCAAAUUUGGGGCUUCUAGUGUAGAGCUGUCAUUAAGGUAAAUUGGAGUUUGCGUGGAGCCUGUUCGAUUGCAUCUUGUUCAGUGCAGUUACUGGUGUUUCCCCACACGCUACUAACCUGAUUGUAAAACAGGGUACAACGAUAUUAAGUCACUACAUGAGAGCUCUGGUGCAUCCAUUCGGGUUCUUUCAAAUGACAUUACAAGAACGCAAGGAUGAAUUUUGGUUUCUGCAAUUUUCUUAUAACGGAAAAUAGUUGGCUUCAUCCUCCAAAGAUCAGAUUGCUCUUCUAUGGGAGAUAGGAGGAUUUCUCCAAGGACAGUAAAAGAUUUGAAGGUAAAUAGUGGUGGCAGAAUUUUAGAGAACAUUUGAUGGUUGUACUUCUCAAGGUAGAGGAGAUCAAGAAUGGAAGACUUGCAGCAAUGCUUGUGAUGCUCGGAUUAUUUAUGCUUUGUUAAAUGUUGGCAUUCAGUAGUAGGGAUGUAUAUUUUGGAUGUUGAUAUUGGAAUGUAAGGAAAUCUCUGUAUUCAAACCGUACCUUUCAAUUUGAUAAUUUAAAAAUUAUUGAUGUAGCUAUAAAAUGUGUUGUGGUUUAUAUUUAUUGUUAUUAUUUGUUAAAAGCUGCUGCAUAAACUGUUGCCUUUGCUGGCUAAGGCAACGCCGAAAAUACUAACAGCCCAAAACCGUUGCCAUUUCACAUUUUCAGCCUGUUGCAACAAUUUAUGGGCCUCUGGCUACGUUUUUGAAAUGUUGCUAAAAGCCAUCUAUGGCAUAGUGACAGUGAAUACUAAUGAGGAGUUGGACUCGGUUGAUGAUGAUCAAAUUCCGAAUGAUCACAUAUAUUUAGUAAACAAAAUUGUUUUAGGCUGUUUAUUCUUUUUGGUCAUCAAUGAU